AUGGGGUACUCCAAAACUCUAGCGGCUGGCCUGUUCGCCAUGCUUUUCCUAGCUCCAGCUGUCCUGGCUACCGACCCCGACCCUCUCCAGGACUUUUGCGUAGCCGACCUUGAUGGCAAGGCGGUCUCGGUGAACGGGCACCCAUGCAAGCCCAUGUCUGAGGAUGGCGACGACUUCCUCUUCUCAUCCAAGCUGGCCAAGGCUGGCAACACGUCGACCCCAAACGGCUCGACCGUGACGGAGCUCGACGUGGCCGAGUGGCCCGGAACGAACACGUUGGGCGUGUCUAUGAACCGCGUGGACUUCGCACUGGGGGGGCACCAACCCGCCGCACAUCCAUCCCCGUGCCACCGAGAUCGGCAUCGUGAUGAAAGGGUGGUGCGCGCUGGGGAGACGUUCCUCAUCCCACGCGGCCUCAUGCACUUCCAGUUCAACGUUGGUAAGACCGAGGCCUCCAUGGUCGUCUCCUUCAACAGCCAGAACCCCGGCAUCGUCUUCGUGCCACUCAUGCUCUUCGGCUCCAAUCCACCCAUCCCAACGCCGGUGCUCACCAAGGCGCUCCGGGUGGAGGCCGGGGUCGUGGAACUACUCAAGUCCAAGUUCGCCGCUGGGUUUUAA
rnacentral:rRNA from 1 species